rnacentral:tRNA from 1 species
GGGGCGGUAGUUCAGCUGGAUAGAAUACUGCACUGUCACUGCAGUGGUCGCGGGUUCGAAUCCCGUCCGCCCCGCCA